GGCCGUGGCUCGCGCAACGGACACGUGCCAACCGGGUCAGGCCUUGACUGGAGCAGCCCUCCGCAAUGCUGUCCGUGUGCCGCGAGACCCACGGUCCGG
rnacentral:SRP_RNA from 1 species